GCGCUGGCCUUCAGGCCAGCGCCAGUACACUCGCAGCAGUGGCACGCGACUGCUUCCCCGCUGUUGGGACUCGCCGUAGAUCUCGUUCCAUGCCAAUUCCCAAUUUAAUAGCAAACAAGAUAAAUCUAGUCUAUUACUCACCAUUACACCCGAAUUUUUGGGUGUAUUGGUCCAUUUCACAGAC